rnacentral:miRNA from 1 species
UGGGUAUGUUUUUCGUCCAAGA